ACCGCCCGAGGCUUGAACCAUUGCCGUGGCGUUUGUGCGACGAUUUCGCCGCCAGGAUGGUUAAGCCAUUUGAGGAUCAGACCGCCAGAGCAGACUGAAUCCAUGCUGGGUAAGUACGAUGCGGGUGCCUCCAGGUGACUGAGUCUGACAUGAUCGUUGUUGGGUGUGGUGCGACCUGUUCGCCGCCAGACGGUAUGUCAUGUCUCGAUUCACGCUGGGUAAGUGCAACGCGAUCGCCACCAGAUGGUCAAGUCGUGCGACUUGAGCCGGGCUUAGCGUGUGCGACGACUUCGCCGCUAGGGGGCUGAGAUAGAGAGGGCGGUAGGCUGUUGAGCAGCCAGUGCGCGGGCUAUCCGCGGAUGAUUGACUCGAAGCCGAGUCGUGUGGUUAGCAUCGAUAGGGUAGAGGAACCCUUAUGAGCUAGAGAUAGAGGCUUGAGCUAAG
rnacentral:lncRNA from 1 species